GACAGCAGUCGCCGCGGUAAUACGGAGGGAGCUAGCGUUGUUCGGAAUUACUGGGCGUAAAGCGCGCGUAGGCGGUUACUCAAGUCAGAGGUGAAAGCCCGGGGCUCAACCCCGGAACUGCCUUUGAAACUAGGUGACUAGAAUCUUGGAGAGGUCAGUGGAAUUCCGAGUGUAGAGGUGAAAUUCGUAGAUAUUCGGAAGAACACCAGUGGCGAAGGCGACUGACUGGACAAGUAUUGACGCUGAGGUGCGAAAGCGUGGGGAGCAAACAGGAUUAGAUACCCGCGUAGUCCCUGUCUCUUAUAC
rnacentral:rRNA from 1 species